rnacentral:rRNA from 1 species
CUUGGUGUGAAUUGCAGAAUCCCGUGAACCAUCGAGUUUUUGAACGCAAGUUGCGCCCGAAGCUUUGGCCAGGGCACGUCUGCCUGGGCGUCACGC